CUUUAAACCAACAUAAACAUUACAAGACCAGACCCAGAAUCCAGUGGAAGCCAGAUAAAUAAACCUGCCCUGAGUCUGACAAAUAGGGGUGUCCGAAAACUCCUUGUACUCAGGCUUUUCUUAUGCAGCCCCAUUAGUCCAACAUAAUCUGCAUUGGCACAGGGAAGGGUAGUCCUCCUGGUCUCCCCUCCCACCUAUUUCUCUUGUUGCAGAACCAGGCGGGGAGUGGGUCAGCAUGUGGUUGGGGAAUGCAUAAGUAAAAAGCAUCCAUCUUCAUGCUCGGUUUUACAUUCAGGCUGCCUGAUGCCAGCCUAAGGGAGGCACUAGGGACAAGCACAGAUGAGACAGCAGAAGGUUUCAGAGGCAGUAUGGAUUUAUGUUAAAUUGACCACAUAACUGUGGCCUCAGAGGGAUCCUCCAGAGCACGUAUCCAGUGCAGGAACUGGCUGUCAGCAUAGGAGGCACAGCCCAGGAGCACAGGCUGCCACCGGACCUUUUACCGCAGCAAUUCCCAUCUAAUGAAACAGCCCUCAGACACCACUGGCAGCAAGCGUAAAUCAACACAGCCUUUGGGUUGCUCUAAUUUAUAAGGCUCAGACUGAUGCCUUUCAUCCCACAACGUUGUUUAAAAGCAAUGUGUAGUGUUUUUAAGCCAAGGAUCUUUGAAAUAAGAAAACAAGUAAAGACAUUACUAAUAGCAAGUAAGAGUUUUGGGAGUGGGUGGAUGCAAGUGAAUACGAAAGCUGAGUGACAUGGAAGAAAAAUACAUCAAAUCACAUCCACUAGUGACUUUUGUCUCAGUGGGGUAGGUCUCUGAGGCAGUUUCCCUGAACAGCAACAAUCUCUCUAUUGCGUUUGGAAAAGGAAAACAUGGAAAAACUUCACAAGUCAAGGGAAAAAAACAAGUGGCAACAGAUAGGAAAUAUGCUGUUAAAUUGCUGUAGGAUUUUGAAUUGUUGGUCAUUUCUUCCACAAAGGGCCCUCAGUAGUCAGACGUUCCUCAUUUCUAAAUGUUAAACUUUCUUCAUUAUCAGAGUAUUUUUCUGAUUAACCUAUAAGAUUUUUAUAAUCCACAUCUAUUUAUUUAUCUAUCUUAGGAGCUUGAAGGUUUUUUUCUCAUUGUCUGUUUUAGAAAUUGGGAUCGCUCUACACAGGAAAAUACUUCAGGAAGAGGAAUGCAGGGCAUGGAAAACAAUCGACAUCUUCUGUAUCUUGUCUUUGUCUCUGGCUCCACAGGUGGCCCACACGAGGAGAAAAGAGGUGAUUGCCAGUGCCAAAGGAACACAGGUCUGGCCCAACCUUUUACAUCCAAGUAAGCGUGUGGUAGCCAUCUACUUCAUAAGGCUCCACAAAACAUUUAGUCCAUCAACCUAGGCUACAAAACACGUUUUCAACAUCCUGUAACAAAAAAUACCUACAGAAAAAGGCUGAAAGCCACAACUAUUAAAAAAAGAAAGCCACAAAGAGGUCAGGAGAGAUUGGGCACGGCAGAGACUAGAUUUCUGCAGUAGUAGAAAGUAUAUAGCAUAAAGUUGCAGCAAGAAACACUGUACUCCACUCUCUCUUAGAGAGAAAGAAAUAAAACUCACAACAGUUCUUCCAAAAUGGAUCGGAGAGGCAAAUUCCUCCUGGGUCUCAGUUGGCCCGAUCAGCAUCCAUCUCGUAUCUGCAGAUCAGAUUGUGAGGAAUCUCGGGGGUAAACAUCCACUUCAGACGAUAGGGUGGGUUUGUAUAGUUUUCCAUCAAAACAACAACGGUGUUUUAUUGGUGAGUGUAUUCUGCUUUUUAAAGUUCUUUAUCUUGUACACCCUCACCUCUCUUCACGUAGGUGCAAGUCUUUCUAAGUGCAUUCUUGUAAUCCAGUCUCAUCUUAAUGCUACAUUCAGGGUUCAUUGGCCUUUGGUAGGUGAUUGUGUUUGUAGGCAACAUGUAUAACAUUAAUGGAGAAUUAUAUGGAUGGGAUACAUGAGUUGGGAAUAAAAUUUCAUGUACAAACUCUGCAGCAUCAGGAUAUGUUAAUAACAUUAUAUUUCAAAGACACGGCCCGUGAUAAUGUUGUGCAUUAUCUAAACACUGAUUCCAAAAAUAUCCCAGGUAAUAUCUGACACUGCAAGACCACAGGCUCCCUGGCUGAGGGACAGCAGUCAGUAAGAAGCUGACUGAGGAAGUGAUGGGAAAGGAAAAUUUGGCAAAUGGUUAGGGAAGAUUUUACUUGCCAAAUAAAUAAAUAAAUAAAAUCCUUUGGAUCACGACAUCCAGGUCGUGGCCAACUUAUGAACAGCAGCAAAAAGCCAUCUUAACACCAGUUUAACCAACUGUGCAGGCAGGGAUUUCACACCUUGGUGUGAGUUGGCACAGCAAGCCCACGUCAGUUCUGUACGAGGCGUGAUAAUGUAGAAGUAGUCGGCACAGCGCUGCACUUCCAAAAUCUUGUUGUGGAUGAGUUGCGUGGGAUAUUAUUAAAGCAGGCCAUAGAGUGUAUUACCCCUGCAACUUCUUUGAGCAGUUCUUCUCAAAUCUUGCUUAUAUUCACCCGUCAGCUGCAUCAAGCAGAUGUCCCAUGCAGCUGAGAAAGCAGUUCUGAAUUCCAGGCAGAGCAGAUGGCAAGUCAGUUCUGAAGGUUUCAUCUAAAAGGCCAGCAUAAAGAUGGAAGACUAUAUGGCAUUCAAUUAAUCAGCGCUUGCAAGGUGACGGAAUGAGGAAUAGCAGGCUUUCUUUGUUACACUGGGAGAUAUGCUUUCCAUAUUUUUUUAUCCUUAUUGUCAGUCAUGUGUUUGCAUGACUAGCUGGGGAAUCAGAGACAGCUCUAAUGGAAAAGAGAAAUUAGGUCAUCUGGUCCAUCCUCACUGCCAGGGCAUGACUGUUCCCUGCAGUGUAUCACUUCCCACACAGUUAUCUUUCCAACUGUCUUUUGUAAGAUGGAAAUGCAAUUCAGAGUCCCAUUUGGCUAUGACUACCAGAGCUUUUGAGGACUUUUUAUUUGGACAAAAAUGCUUAAUAAGACACUGAGAGCUAAAACUAUUUUAAAUACAUCUCAAAGGGGGAAAAAAAAAGCAAAUCUCAGAAUUUGAUUCUCAGUAAAAACUUUUUAAUAGAAAAAUUGUGCAAUAUUUGGGGUAAUCGGGGACACUGUUUUCAUUCAGACAGGAAAUAGUUUCUAUGACUCAAUUCUACAAAUUAAACAAUAGGUUUCCUGCUUAAAAAAAAAAUCAAACAACUAGUUCAGUAAGUAGUUUAGGAAGCAGACAGUAUUCAUGAUGCUUUGAGCAGCCUCUCAUCAGGAGACUCGGUGCUAGUGCUGGCUGACUGUAGGCAUUUCAUGUUGCUUUGAUAAAUUACUCCAAGUGCUUGGAUCUCCAUCAUUCAGCAGAACAUCUCCUGUACAGAGCAGGUUUGGUUUGUUAAGGAAAAAAAUGAAUGAACACAAAUGGAAGAACAGUGAUAGAACUUGUGUGUAAGGAAAUGGCAAACCUUUCAGCAGCUUUGAAUUACUAACUUCCAUGCUGCCUGCAAAUGAGAAUAACCCCUAUCUUUUAGCCCCUUGACUACAUCACCAUGCUCAUCGAGUAAGUCCAAUGGUUUGAAUUAGUAAGUGGCAGUCUAAAUAUUUCCCUGUGGGUUGAUCUCCUUUCCCAAAGGACCUGUUUGCUUGGUUUUACCAGGAGGUGCCACCAUGUAGUUUGGUUUAAGGGUUCACUUUCUUAAGUUAGGCAGGGAUUCUACAAACUCUACUCAGCUUUGCUUUAGCAUUCCCUUUUGACACCAAAUUUGCAGCCUUUUAUGCCUUCACAUGCUUAUCUACGUCAGUUCUUGUAGUUCUUAGAUCAUCAUCCUUCACUGGAGAAUUUUGUUUCCACUGCACCUUGCAGCAACAUUUUCACUGGGGAGGACCCAGGAGCAUUUAAGGAACUUCAGAAGAAACAAGCUCAUCGUGACAAAAUGAGUAAUUUCUUCUCCAGAACUUCUCUGAAAAGAUCACAGCCACUGCAACCUCAUGUCCAAGUGCACAUGGUUGCUUUUUUAUAUCCCACCAGAGGAACCAUAAGAUUUUCUUGGUGAAAGGCACCUUUUUCCCUUCUCCAGCUGAUGAAGAAGAGUGCUCUCAGGUGCUUCUGAGUUCAGGAAUUAAACAGAUUACUCUCUACAGUUGCCUUAUUAAAUCUGCAAAUUAAUCCACAGAGUUUUUCUUUUUGUCUCCAGAAAAUUAGACUCAAGACUACAAACUGACUGACAGGGUUAUUCCAUCUCUACUAUAAACCCAGAAGUCAUUGUCAAGCUCUUCCAAUGCUACUUUGUCUUUUAAAAUGCACGAGAGCACUCUGCAUUUCAUUCUUUUGCAUAAAUUAAGCUUGACCUUGUGUUAAUUUAAAUGGGCUUGAGGGCUUUACCCCAUGGGUUUCGGUAGUCAUUGAAGCACUCAGCUAGUUACUAAAGGUUGUCAAAAACUCAUCAGUCAUGAAAGUAGGGUUAGCAUGUCAGGUGUGGGUUCCUAGGGACAUGACUUUUCUGGGUGCUUGUGCAUGUAAUGCUCUCCACAGCAUGGUUGUGAAGCUUCACUGUAAUAAAAAUAAUGACUAGAUCCAUUCUGCCAUGACAAUUUUCUUUGAAGUAACAGGUUUCUAGAUUCCACUUGAUGAAGAAAGAUGUGAUUACUAACAGAACACACUAAAUGAUAGUGCUUUUGUGGGUGUAGCAAUUUCAUACUGUUAGAGAAAAGACCACAAAACCUUCCACUAUUACAAACCCACUGAACAGUCAGCUUGUUUUCUUUCCCAUUAUUUUUCCUACUGCAGUGUUUAAUUCUAGUGAUUUAUUAAUUAGUAAUGAGGCCUGCCUAGUUGUCUCGACAAGUGAAAUUUAGAAAGCCAAGGAAUAAAGUAUGAAGUUCGGGGAUGCUGAUAUUGAUCUCAUAUUUGUGUCUGCCUGAAAAAACUGCUAUGUUAAAAUUUGGCAGUCUUGAGCAUCUUUUAAAAACUGAAGCGCCUUUGACAAGAACUAUCCCCCCCUUUCUCCUCUGGUUCUAAUUGGACAAAAAUAGUAUUUGCAGUUGAUCCAUCAGUCAAGACAGACAGAAGAAUGGAGCACCGCAGACAUAGAGCUACAAACACCUUCUCAGCCUUGACCACAGAAGAGACCUUCAUGCCUCUGCACAUCCAAGCAUCGCUGUUUUAAGUGACAAGAUAUUUUAAGCCCUUUCCACUUUGGAGGGUCCUACACACCUUGCACCUGGGUGCAGAGACCAUCCCCUCCUGUAAGUAUUUUCAAGGUGCAAGAGGUUAGAACUGCUCGUGGCUUCAAGAAGAGCAUCUCCUCGCCGACUGCACAGCGUGCCUAGCCCUGGCUCCAGGCCCUUAGAAGGACACGGUAGAUAGGAAGGGCAAGGCCUGGAGUGGAGCAGAGCAGGAGAGCAUCCAGAACAUCAGAAAUGCGUUUGCAGGAACCGAAGUUUUACAGCAGAGUAGUUUUAAAUGCAGUUGGUAAGUAAGCAAAGAGCAGGCCUAGCAAAAGCUGUCAUUUGGUCUCCCACAGAGUAUUAUUGAAACUGUCAUAGAUGGGAUAAAAGCGGAGGGGAGGGACAAGAUGGAACAGCAAAAACGUGGAGGCAAUUAAACUGCCUCUAGCUGUCGUACUACUGUACACAAACUUCUCUAGUGACGCUUAGGUACCGCUUGAGAAGUUCCUCCUGUUCCUCCCACUGAUAAAAACAUCAACCAUCUCUCAAGCAUGGAGCUUAACAGCAACAAACUGGCAUGCAAAGAACAGCACUUCCACUUGGCACAAUAUUUAUUGGGCACUAACAUUUAUUUAAUGCAUUUUGGCAUGGCCACAUAUUAACAAAUAUAUAUGCUUUGAAGCCUCAGAAUAAAAAUAUUUCGCACGUGUACCUCUAAA